AUGAGACCCAAAGACAUAGCGCCAAAUAUUUUUGCGAUCUCUACAAGAAAAAACCACACUGUACAAAAGGCAUUACAUAAUAGCUCGUGGAUAUCCAGAGUGGACAUUGGUGGGAACCUUGCUGUGAACGACAUAGCAGAGUUCGUCAAUCUUUGGACUAAGCUAUCAUGCGUUCAACUCAACCCCGGUGUAGCCGAUUCGAUUUCCUGGAAGCUCACCAAUGAUGGCCAAUAUUCGGCAGCGACGGCAUACCGUGCACAAUUUCUUGGCCAUAUCGACUCUGAUAUGCCUCUUUUGGUGUGGAAGAAUUGGGCUCCUCCCAAAUGCAAUUUUUUUGCUUCGUUGGCCACCAGCAAUAGGAUUUGA
rnacentral:rRNA from 1 species